GGGUAGGUGGCUCAGUGGUAGAGUGCUUGCCUUGCAUGCAUGAGGCCCUGUCCU
rnacentral:tRNA from 1 species